GAUGAACGCUGGCGGCGUGCCUAAUACAUGCAAGUCGAGCGAACAGACGAGGAGCUUGCUCCUCUGACGUUAGCGGCGGACGGGUGAGUAACACGUGGAUAACCUACCUAUAAGACUGGGAUAACUUCGGGAAACCGGAGCUAAUACCGGAUAAUAUAUUGAACCGCAUGGUUCGAUAGUGAAAGACGGUUUUGCUGUCACUUAUAGAUGGAUCCGCGCCGCAUUAGCUAGUUGGUAAGGUAACGGCUUACCAAGGCAACGAUGCGUAGCCGACCUGAGAGGGUGAUCGGCCACACUGGAACUGAGACACGGUCCAGACUCCUACGGGAGGCAGCAGUAGGGAAUCUUCCGCAAUGGGCGAAAGCCUGACGGAGCAACGCCGCGUGAGUGAUGAAGGUCCUCGGAUCGUAAAACUCUGUUAUUAGGGAAGAACAAAUGUGUAAGUAACUAUGCACGUCUUGACGGUACCUAAUCAGAAAGCCACGGCUAACUACGUG
rnacentral:rRNA from 1 species